ACGCCACGGACCGCAUCCAAAAUGCCAGUGUGAAAGUAGCCUUAGGUGGUUAAAACAUUACAAAUGACUCCAAUUGAAACCAAGUUUGUGGAUGAAGUUUUCCCUCCAUUAUUUUGCCAACAGAUUUUGUG